GACGAACGCUGGCGGCGUGCUUAACACAUGCAAGUCGAGCGGUAAGGCCUUUCGGGGUACACGAGCGGCGAACGGGUGAGUAACACGUGGGUGAUCUGCCCUGCACUUCGGGAUAAGCCUGUGAAACUGGGUCUAAUACCGGAUAUGACCUCCUAUCGCAUGGUGGGUGGUGGAAAGAUUUAUCGGUGCAGGAUGGGCCCGCGGCCUAUCAGCUUGUUGGUGGGGUAAUGGCCUACCAAGGCGACGACGGGUAGCCGACCUGAGAGGGUGACCGGCCACACUGGGACUGAGACACGGACCAGACUCAUACGGGAGGCAGCAGUGGGGAAUAUUGAACAAUGGGAGAAAGCCUGAUGCAGAGACGCAGCGUGAGGGAUGACGGCCUUCGGGUUGUAAACCUCUUUCAGAAGGGACGAAGCGCAAGUGACGGUAACUGCAGAAGAAGCACCGGCUAACUACGUG
rnacentral:rRNA from 1 species